AAGGAUUACAAAAUCGGGUAAGCAACUACAUCAUGGACAUGGCAGCCCUCCAAGACAACUUCAUUAUCAUCUGUAAGCCUUAUGAAUGGCCAAGUAACCACAGAAGCAGCUGAGAACACUAGAGUUGCCUCAUGGUCCUCUUAAGAAAGUAAUGCACAAAAACCACAAAACGAAGGGAUGACAUUCUUCCUAGAGCCUUCAAGGCAACCGAUGGAGAGGUCUGACCUACUGAGGAAAUGAUCUUAUGGACCCUAGAUCAAAAGACUGGAAAUGAAGCCAAAGACCCAGGGGGAACCUUGCAGCGAGAAGCCCACUGAUGUCUGCCCUUUGUUUCCAUCACCACCCUUGGAUGUCAUUUCCUGUUUUAACCAUAUGUGAGCAAGGUCUUACAGUUGGGAGGACUUAGAAGGCAACAUUCUCAUGGAAGGGAUUACUUCAGUGACGAUUAUAAAUUCAACUGGACAGACAGGCGGCAGACAUCAACAAAGAGGACAAGAAGGAAAAACAUAUGAGAGGACCAAUUGUGAUGCAUGGAAAACUCAGAGGCCACCUGGAACAUUACUAGUUUUAUUCAACAGCUGGAGAAAGACAAUUCGAUGACAUUCAUCUCUCGCAGAGCCCAGGCUGACCUGCUUCUCUCCCUCCUCGCUCCCCAAUGAGGAGCAGUAAUAAAAGCUCAACAGCUCUAAAAGCAAUCGAUUCAGAAACGGUGUGGUGCAAUUACAGCCAGGAUGGCAGCAAAGACUUCCAGUAAAAUAAAAGAAAGACAAAUACAAUCUCUGCAGUGGGACUGGCCUCCAUUGCACAAGCAGCCCUCUGGUCAUAAAGAGGCACCAUGCGGUGCCUUGUGUGAUGGAGGAGGUCAGCAGCUGGACAGCAAGGGCCCAGGGAGGAGAUGGUCCCUCUAAGAGCCCACUGGAUUGUGGAUAGGCUGAUUGUUCCAAGGUAACAGCUCCAACUCUUCUCUACUGGACCUGCGACCUCUUAAUAGAUUUUUAUGUUGCUUUCCAUACAAGGUUUCCUGCUACACAAUACCUUUCCCAUUACUUUCUAAUACAAGCCCAUCCCUCCCAUCCACCUCUAUGAAGUGAAGCUAGGGAAGCUGAAUCAUUAGAGCAUCCAUUCAUUCUGGGCUUCCAAAGCCCUGAGAGUGGCCUUAGCAAUGUGUUCACUAGGCCUUAUCUUUUUUGUAAAAUUGGUAAAGCAAGAUAUUUUAACUGCAGUAGGUGAAGACCCUAAUACCUUUCACCUCUAAUCUCCCCUCCAUCACAUGCCCCCUUAUGUAGGGAGGUAAUGAAGUGGCAGUCAACGUAUUUGGGAUCUAACUAAUGGGAAGUCGAGUUGGGAUACACUUAGUUCUUUGAUGGGAUAUCUUCAUAUAGUUCACAAUAUGUCUUUGCAGAAUUAAAUUUUUGCUCACUUUCCAGGUGUAGAAAUGGAAUAGUCUGACCACUCCGUUGCUGUAUGACCCAGUGAUCUUGAUAGAAUUUGCCCAAAGUUGAAACAAUCCUUAAAAAUUCACUUGACUUUACCAACAUAAACUUUUAAAAACUGUUAAUAAUAAAAAAAAAAAAUACAACAUUUGAUCAACCAAGCAAGAGGAAAGGCUGAAUUACCCUUCUAUUUUAUCUGUAGAAAAUGAUAUUACAAAAUGUCAUGAAAAGGCAUUCAAAGAGAACAGAAAUAAUAUUGUAGGGAAAACAUAUCAAAGAAGUGUGUCAAGCAGUUACCUUUAAAAAGUAGGUUAAUUGUAUGCAUUUCUGUAAUUAUG